GACGAACGCUGGCGGCGUGCUUAACACAUGCAAGUCGAACGGAAAGGCCCUGCUUUUGUGGGGUGCUCGAGUGGCGAACGGGUGAGUAACACGUGAGUAACCUGCCCUUGACUUUGGGAUAACUUCAGGAAACUGGGGCUAAUACCGGAUAGGAGCUCCUGCUGCAGGGUGGGGGUUGGAAAGUUUCGGCGGUUGGGGAUGGACUCGCGGCUUAUCAGCUAGGUGGUGGGGUAAUGGCUUACCAAGGCGUUGACGGGUAGCGGGCGUGAGAGGGGGAGCGGGCACAGGGGGACUGAGACAGGGACAAGAGGACUACGGGAGGCAGCAGUGGGGAACUUGGGACAAGGGGAGGAAGCCUGGGCAAGCGAGGCGGCGUGUAGGAAGAAGGCCUUGGGGGUGGAAAGGAGGUGUGUCAGGGAAGAAAAGGCUGUGGCUAAUACCGACAGCGGAGGACGGUAACUGAAGAAGAAGCACCGGCUAACUACGUG
rnacentral:rRNA from 1 species